rnacentral:rRNA from 1 species
UACGUAGGUGACAAGCGUUGUCCGGAAUUAUUGGGCGUAAAGGGAGCGCAGGCGGUUGGAAUAGUCUGAUGUGAAAGCCCACGGCUUAACCGUGGAAGGUCAUUGGAAACUGUCCAACUUGAAUGCAGAAGAGGUAAGUGGAAUUCCAUGUGUAGCGGUGAAAUGCGUAGAUAUAUGGAGGAACACCAGUGGCGAAGGCGACUUACUGGUCUGUAAUUGACGCUGAGGCUCGAAAGCGUGGGUAGCGAACAGGAUUAGAUACCCUGGUAGUCCACGCCGUAAACGAUGAGUGCUAAGUGUUGGAGGGUUUCCGCCCUUCAGUGCUGGAGUUAACGCAUUAAGCACUCCGCCUGGGGAGUACGGCCGCAAGGCUGAA